rnacentral:rRNA from 1 species
AGUGAACGCUGGCGGUAGGCCUAACACAUGCAAGUCGAACGGCAGCACAGGAGAGCUUGCUCUCUAGGUGGCGAGUGGCGGACGGGUGAGGAAUACAUCGGAAUCUGCCCAGUCGUGGGGGAUAACGUAGGGAAACUUACGCUAAUACCGCAUACGACCUUCGGGUGAAAGAGGGGGAUCGCAAGACCUCUCGCGAUUGGAUGAGCCGAUGUCGGAUUAGCUAGUUAGCGGGGUAAUGGCCCACCAAGGCGACGAUCCGUAGCUGGUCUGAGAGGAUGAUCAGCCACACUGGAACUAAGACACGGUCCAGACUCCUACGGGAGGCAGCAGUGGGGAAUAUUGGACAAUGGGCGCAAGCCUGAUCCAGCCAUACCGCGUGGGUGAAGAAGGCCUUCGGGUUGUAAAGCCCUUUUGUUGGGAAAGAAAUCUUUCAGGCUAAUACCCUGGGAGGAUGACGGUACCCAAAGAAUAAGCACCGGCUAACUUCGUG